GAUGAACGCUGGCGGCGUGCCUAAUACAUGCAAGUCGAGCGAACAGACGAGGAGCUUGCUCCUCUGACGUUAGCGGCGGACGGGUGAGUAACACGUGGAUAACCUACCUAUAAGACUGGGAUAACUUCGGGAAACCGGAACUAAUACCGGAUAAUAUAUUGAACCGCAUGGUUCAAUAGUGAAAGACGGUUUUGCUGUCACUUAUAGCUGGAUCCGCGCCGCAUUAGCUAGUUGGUAAGGUAACGGCUUACCAAGGCAACGAUGCGUAGCCGACCUGAGAGGGUGAUCGGCCACACUGGAACGGAGACACGGUCCAGACUCCUACGGGAGGCAGCAGUAGGGAAUCUUCCGCAAUGGGCGAAAGCUUGACGGAGCAACGCCGCGUGAGUGAUGAAGGUCUUCGGAUCGUAAAACUCUGUUAUUAGGGAAGAACAAAUGUGUAAGUAACUAUGCACGUCUUGACGGUACCUAAUCAGAAAGCCACGGCUAACUACGUG
rnacentral:rRNA from 1 species